CAUAUCAAAAAGCGGAGGAAAAGAAACCAACAGGGAUUGCCCUAGUAACGGCGAGUGAAGCGGCAACAGCUCAAAUUUGAAAGCUGGCUCCGGCCCGCAUUGUAAUUUGCAGAGGAUGCUUUUGGCGAGGUGCCUUCCGAGUUCCCUGGAACGGGACGCCAUAGAGGGUGAGAGCCCCGUAUGGAUGGACACCAAACCUGUGUAAAGCUCCUUCAACGAGUCGAGUAGUUUGGGAAUGCUGCUCUAAAUGGGAGGUAAAUCUCUUCUAAAGCUAAAUACCGGCCAGAGACCGAUAGCGCACAAGUAGAGUGAUCGAAAGAUGAAAAGCACCUUGAAAAGGGGGUUAAACAGUACGUGAAAUUGUUGAAAGGGAAGCGCUUGUGACCAGACUUGCGCCGGGCAGCUCAUCAGGGGUUCUCCCCUGUGCACUCUGCCCGGCUCAGGCCAGCAUCGGUUCUCGUGGGAGGAUAAGAACAGUGGGAACGUGGCCCCCUCUCGGGGGGGUGUUAUAGCCCAUUGUACGAUACUCUCGUGGGGACCGAGGUUCGCGCUCCGCAAGGAUGCUGGCGUAAUGGUCAUCAGCGACCCGUCUUGAAACACGGACCAAAU
rnacentral:rRNA from 1 species